GGGGUGGUGGGAGAGGGG
rnacentral:miRNA from 1 species